AACACGGAGAGUUUGAUCCUGGCUCAGAACGAACGUUGGCGGCGUGGAUUAGGCAUGCAAGUCGUACGAGAAAGUCACCUUCGGGUGGCGAGUAAAGUGGCGAACGGGUGAGUAACGCGUGGGAAAUCUGCCCUGCAGUUGGGGAUAACACUCCUAACGGGGUGCUAAUACCGAAUGAGACCACGAGGUCGCAUGGCCUUGAGGUUAAAGGUGGCCUCUCCUUGGAAGCUACCGCUGCUGGAGGAUCCCGCGUCCCAUUAGCUUGUUGGCGGGGUAAUGGCCCACCAAGGCACCGAUGGGUAGCUGGUCUGAGAGGAUGGUCAGCCACACUGGGACUGAGAUACGGCCCAGACUCCUACGGGAGGCAGCAGUCGAGAGGCUUCGGCAAUGGGGGAAACCCUGACCGAGCGACGCCGCGUGGGCGAUGAAGGCCGUAAGGUUGUAAAGCCCUGUCAGGAGGGAAGAAAUGCUCAUGGGCAAACAGUCCAUGGGUUUGACAGUACCUCCAGAGGAAGCUCCGGCUAACUCCGUGCCAGCAGCCGCGGUAACACGGAGGGAGCAAACGUUGUUCGGAAUUACUGGGCGUAAAGGGCGUGUAGGCGGUUCCGUAAGUCGGGGGUGAAAUCCAGUGGCUCAACCAUUGGCCUGCCUUCGAAACUGCGGAACUUGAGGCCGUGAGAGGAAAGCGGAAUUCCUGGUGUAUCGGUGAAAUGAGUUGAUAUCAGG
rnacentral:rRNA from 1 species